rnacentral:rRNA from 1 species
GACAGAGGUCUCGAGCGUUUAGGCGGAAUCACUGGGCUUAAAGCGUGUGUAGGCGGACUUGUAAGUACCUUGUGAAAUCCCACGGCUCAACCGUGGAACUGCUUGGUAUACUGCUUGUCUUGGGCCAUCUAGGGGUUACCGGAACAAACGGUGGAGCGGUGAAAUGCGUAGAUAUGACAUAGAACACCAAUUGCGAAGGCAGCCCGCUACACGGUUAUUGACACUGAGGCACGAAAGCGUGGGGAUCAAACAGG